UUUUUGGAUUUCCUGAGUCAAAUCUGACUCUACCACUUAAUACCCAUAAAACCUUGGGCAGUUCUUUCACCUCACUGGGUCUGAUUUCUCACCAGUAAAAUAAAGAUAAUGAUUGUCUUACUUCAAGGACUUCCAGUGAGGAUUAAAUAAACGAAUCCACAUCGUACUCUGUUAGCUAACUGACACAAACUAAGGACUUGAUGAAUAGCAGCUAUCAUUAAUGUAGUCUCUGGAUAGUAAGUCCCCCCCCCCAAAAAAAAUCACAUGUUACAGUGCCUUUGAAUUCUCUAAAGAGCUCACUAGAUGAUUGAUCAAUGGAUUGAAGCUGGAUGUAACAUCCAAUGCCAGGCCCCAGCACUGCAAGUUCUCCACUGUGAUUUGAUAACAACUAUACUUUGGUAACCUUUGCUCACCAACAGGAGCUUUGUUUUAUGCUUAACCUGCAAUGCAGUGACUAAAAGAAAAAUCUCUAUUGGAAGGCUGUCUUGCAUUUCCUUCUUAAAUAUUACUGUUCUUUAUUGAAUGACUAUUCACUCUUUUUGGUUGUUUUGAAUAUUCACCCUUUAAAUGCAAGUUACUUUCACUUUGACAAGGCCUUUCAGGGAAAAAUGUGUCUUUAUGAGUCCAAAAACAGUUAAAGGAUGCCUGAAUUGUAACAUCCUUAAAUAUUUAUGCACCCUAUGGAAAAGUAACUGUAAUUUAUGUUUCUCUUUCAGCAAGAAAGUAGCAGGAAAGAAUCAGGACUCCGCCUUUCACUUGCUUUCAAGUUAGUGAUGACAAAACAAGGAAGAAAUGUGAUUGGACCAAUCUAAUGAAUUACAGCUCUGAAAUGUCAUUUAUCUUCAAAACCUCCAGUAACUUGCAAAUGAGUUCAAGAAGACACCCAGGUUGGCAGACAAGCUUCCCCAUGAUUUGAUUUGGCUGGAACCAAAUUCAUUUCCCCCAGACAACUCUCUCCCUUCUACACACCUUUGCUCCAGAUCCUUCACUCCAGCUGCCAGGAAGCUCAGUGCUAAGAUUUUAUUUAGAAGCUAAGGAUCACUUCUCCCCCCAAGAAUGGCCUGCAUCUUCAGCCUCCGUGUAUCCUUGCAAAUGCUGGUCCCUCUCCGAGAAAGUGUGUUGAGAAUCAAAGCUAUUCCAGAGACCUUUCAAGGCUCUGCUCAAAUGCCACUUUUUCUCUUAAUCCUACGAUUGCACCAAAGGAUGGAUAAGAGGUUAGACAACCCACCUCAUAAUAUCUGAUGGCAGUACAUACACCCCAAUAAACAUAAUGUCUAAAUGAAAACUGUGCUUAUU
rnacentral:lncRNA from 12 species